UACGGAGGGUGCAAACGUUGCGCGGAAUCAUUGGGCGUAAAGCGCACGUAGGCGGCAUGUUAAGUCGGAUGUGAAAGCCCCGGGCUCAACCCGGGAAGUGCAUACGAAACUGGCAGGCUUGAAUAUGGAAGAGGGUCGCGGAAUUCCCGGUGUAGAGGUGAAAUUCGUAGAUAUCGGGAGGAACACCAGUGGCGAAGGCGGCGACCUGGGCCAAUAUUGACGCUGAGGUGCGAAAGCGUGGGGAGCAAACAGG
rnacentral:rRNA from 1 species